CAUGUAGGCGGCUUGGUAAGUCGGAUGUGAAAGUCCCGGGCUCAACCCGGGAAGUGCAUUCGAAACUGCUAGGCUUGAGUAAGAGAGAGGAAAGUGGAAUUCCUGGUGUAGAGGUGAAAUUCGUAGAUAUCAGGAGGAACACCGGUGGCGAAGGCGGCUUUCUGGCUCUAUACUGACGCUGAGACGCGAAAGCGUGGGUAGCAAACAGGAUUAGAUACCCUGGUAGUCC
rnacentral:rRNA from 1 species